CAUUCACAAUUUCUUAAAUUUUUGUAAUAUAUACAUAUAUAUAUUUUAAAGAAAUUGUUGAGAAAGAGACUUUUAAUUUCUUAAAUAAUUUUGUUGUGUUAUUGAAAGAAAAAAAAAGGAAACCCAAGUUUCCAAUACAGAACUGAUUCUCUUGUUAUAUAUGUCUAUUUUACUAAAAAAAAACAAAUAAUAAAGGAAGGAAAAUGAUUAGUUAAUUGGAAAGGAAUAAGUGGCUUUAUCAUCUGCAAAUGGAAAGGUGGGUUGCUUGAGUUUGAAUAUGAAAGAUAUGGUUGGUGGAAGGUGGUGGCUGGCGGUGGCGGUGACGGUGGUUGUGUGGCGGUGGUGGAGAACCUGCUGUAAAGAACCAACUUUGCUGGACAAUGAAGAUUGAUCUACCCAUCAUCGUCGUUUCUUUACUCUUACGAUGAAGACUAAGAUGGCCCCACUAUGACUGAAUUAUCUUCUAAUUUUGUUAUUUAUUUAUUAGUUCAUGGA